GAUGAACGCUGGCGGCGUGCCUAAUACAUGCAAGUCGAGCGAACAGACGAGGAGCUUGCUCCUUCGACGUUAGCGGCGGACGGGUGAGUAACACGUAGGUAACCUACCUAUAAGACUGGGAUAACUUCGGGAAACCGGAGCUAAUACCGGAUAAUAUUUCGAACCGCAUGGUUCAAUAGUGAAAGAUGGCUUUGCUAUCACUUAUAGAUGGACCUGCGCCGUAUUAGCUAGUUGGUAAGGUAACGGCUUACCAAGGCAACGAUACGUAGCCGACCUGAGAGGGUGAUCGGCCACACUGGAACUGAGACACGGUCCAGACUCCUACGGGAGGCAGCAGUAGGGAAUCUUCCGCAAUGGGCGAAAGCCUGACGGAGCAACGCCGCGUGAGUGAUGAAGGUCUUCGGAUCGUAAAACUCUGUUAUUAGGGAAGAACAAACGUGUAAGUAACUGUGCACGUCUUGACGGUACCUAAUCAGAAAGCCACGGCUAACUACGUG
rnacentral:rRNA from 1 species